rnacentral:rRNA from 1 species
AGACAAGCUAUGAAGGGCACAUGGUGGAUGCCUUGGCAUCAAGAGCCGAUGAAGGACGUUGGAGCCUGCGAUAAGCCCUGGGGAGUUGGCAACCAAGCUGUGAUCCGGGGGUGUCCGAAUGGGGAAACCCAGCACGAGUCAUGUCGUGUUACCUGCACCUGAAUAUAUAGGGCGGGUAGAGGGAACGUGGGGAAGUGAAACAUCUCAGUACCCACAGGAAGAGAAAGCAACCGCGAUUCCGUUAGUAGUGGCGAGCGAAACCGGAACAGGCUAAACCUAGCGUGUGUGAUAGCCGGCAGGCGUUGCACGUUGGGGGUUGUGGGACCGCUCACUCUCAUCUGCCGGUGAGGGACAGAGUAAGAAACCAGUGUGGAAGUCGAAGUCGGUUGGAAAGCCGUACCGUAGAGGGUGAUAGGCCCGUAGACGUAAGACGCUGGCUCUGGAGCGUGUUCCCAAGUAGCACGGGGCCCGAGAAAUCCCGUGUGAAUCUGUCAGGACCACCUGAUAAGCCUAAAUACUCCCAGAUGACCGAUAGCGGACAAGUACCGUGAGGGAAAGGUGAAAAGUACCCCGGGAGGGGAGUGAAAUAGUACCUGAAACCGUUUGCUUACAAACCGUUGGAGCACCCCUGGUAGGUGUGACAGCGUGCCUUUUGAAGAAUGAGCCUGCGAGUUAGCGAUAUGUGGCGAGGUUAACCCGUGUGGGGUAGCCGUAGCGAAAGCGAGUCUGAAUAGGGCGAUUCAGUCGCAUGUCCUAGACCCGAAGCGAAGUGAUCUAUCCAUGGCCAGGCUGAAGCGACGGUAAGACGUCGUGGAGGGCCGAACCCACUUAGGUUGAAAACUGAGGGGAUGAGCUGUGGAUAGGGGUGAAAGGCCAAUCAAACUUCGUGAUAGCUGGUUCUCUCCGAAAUGCAUUUAGGUGCAGCGUUGCGUGUUUCUUGCCGGAGGUAGAGCUACUGGAUGGCCGAUGGGCCCUACAAGGUUACUGACGUCAGCCAAACUCCGAAUGCCGGUAAGUGAGAGCGCAGCAGUGAGACUGUGGGGGAUAAGCUUCAUAGUCGAGAGGGAAACAACCCAGACCACCAACUAAGGUCCCAAAGCGCGUGCUAAGUGGGAAAGGAUGUGGAGUUGCUGUGACAACCAGGAGGUUGGCUUAGAAGCAGCCACCCUUGAAAGAGUGCGUAAUAGCUCACUGGUCAAGUGAUUCCGCGCCGACAAUGUAACGGGGCUCAAGCACGCCACCGAAGUUGUGGCAUUGACAUUAUUGGUAGGCCUUCGUGGUCCAGCCGUGUUGAUGGGUAGGAGAGCGUCGUGUGGCCAGCGAAGCGGCGGUGUGAACCAGCCGUGGAGGCUACACGAGUGAGAAUGCAGGCAUGAGUAGCGAAAGACGUGUGAGAAACACGUCCUCCGAAAGACCAAGGGUUCCAGGGUCAAGCUAAUCUUCCCUGGGUAAGUCGGGACCUAAGGCGAGGCCGACAGGCGUAGUCGAUGGACAACGGGUUGAUAUUCCCGUACCGGCGAAGUUGCGCCCAUGACGAACCUGGUGAUGCUAACCACCCGAAGCAUCUCGGACCGGACCCUUCGGGGCGAGGCCGUGGUGUGGAGCGUGGGACCCGAGCUGGUAGUAGUCAAGCGAUGGGGUGACGCAGGAAGGUAGCCCAACCCGGGCGAUGGUUGUCCCGGGGCAAGUGCGUAGGCCGAGAGAUAGGCAAAUCCGUCUCUCAUUCAGGCUGAGACACGAUGCGGAUAAAAAGUGGGUGAUCCUAUGCUGCCAAGAAAAGCAUCGACGCGAGGUUCUAGCUGCCCGUACCCCAAACCGACUCAGGUGGUCAGGUAGAGAAUACCAAGGAGAUCGAGAGAAUCGUGGUUAAGGAACUCGGCAAAAUGCCCCCGUAACUUCGGGAGAAGGGGGGCCAUCCACUUAUACGGACUUGCUCCGGAAAGGGUGUGGUGGCCGCAGAGACUAGUGGGUAGCGACUGUUUACUAAAAACACAGGUCCGUGCCAAGUCGCAAGACGAUGUAUACGGACUGACGCCUGCCCGGUGCUGGAAGGUUAAGAGGACCGGUUAGCCGCAAGGCGAAGCUGAGAAUUUAAGCCCCAGUAAACGGCGGUGGUAACUAUAACCAUCCUAAGGUAGCGAAAUUCCUUGUCGGGUAAGUUCCGACCUGCACGAAUGGCGUAACGACUUCCCAACUGUCUCAACCGCGAACUCGGCGAAAUUGCAUUACGAGUAAAGAUGCUCGUUACGCGCAGCAGGACGGAAAGACCCCGUGACCUUUACUACAGCUUGGUAUUGGUGUUCGGUGUGGCUUGUGUAGGAUAGGUGGGAGACUGUGAAGCGGUGACGCCAGUUACCGUGGAGUCGUUGUUGAAAUACCACUCUGGUCACUCUGGAUAUCUAACUUCGAACCGUAAUCCGGUUCAGGGACAGUGCCUGGUGGGUAGUUUAACUGGGGCGGUUGCCUCCCAAAAAGUAACGGAGGCGCCCAAAGGUUCCCUCAACCUGGUUGGCAAUCAGGUGGCGAGUGUAAGUGCACAAGGGAGCUUGACUGUGAGACUGACAGGUCGAGCAGGGACGAAAGUCGGGACUAGUGAUCCGGCAGUGGCUUGUGGAAGCGCUGUCGCUCAACGGAUAAAAGGUACCUCGGGGAUAACAGGCUGAUCUUGCCCAAGAGUCCAUAUCGACGGCAUGGUUUGGCACCUCGAUGUCGGCUCGUCGCAUCCUGGGGCUGGAGUAGGUCCCAAGGGUUGGGCUGUUCGCCCAUUAAAGCGGUACGCGAGCUGGGUUUAGAACGUCGUGAGACAGUUCGGUCCCUAUCCGCUGCGCGCGUAGGAAAUUUGAGAGGAUCUGACCCUAGUACGAGAGGACCGGGUUGGACGAACCUCUGGUGUGCCAGUUGUUCUGCCAAGAGCACCGCUGGUUAGCUACGUUCGGGAUGGAUAACCGCUGAAAGCAUCUAAGCGGGAAGCCGGCCUCAAGAUGAGGUUUCCCACCACACAAGUGGGUAAGGCCCCCCACAGAACAUGGGGUUGAUAGGCCGGAGGUGUACAGCAGUAAUGCCCAGCCGACCGGUACUAAUAGGCCGAGGGCUUGUCCCA